UACCCUUUCCCUUUCCUUGUCUUCUGAAUAUUACAAUACCUUCCCCUUCGAAAGAGACCUUGUCCUCAAGGUCGUUGUUGAGCAAUAAAUGCUAGAAAGUGGCUUUUGAUGUAGCCCCACUCCUCCCAUGUCGCAUCUUCUUUGCACAAAUUUGCCCACUGAACCAAAAUUUUGACUGCAACGGUAUUGUUCUCCUUAACCACACGCCACUGUAAAAUGGCAACUGACUUAAUCAAAAUGUGACCCUCACUGUCACAAGCUCGUAGAUGCUGCUGAGGACAUAUGGAUGGUCCAAUACGUCGUUUGAGUUGGGACACAUGAAAGACAGGGUGAAGACGCGAAUCCGGUGGUAGCUCUAAAUGGUAAGCCACUUCAUCAAUCUUCUGCAAAAUUUUAUUAGGACCAAAGAAUCGAGCACAAAUCUUGACAUUUCUUCUCACUUCGAUAGUUGACUGUCCAUAAGGCUGUAGUUUGAGGUACACAUGGUCCCCUACCUCCAAGAUUCGCUCAAAACGGAGUCGAUCCGCAUAAAAUUUCAUCUGUGAUUGUGCCUGCACAAGGUUGUCACGCAGUGCUUGUAGCAUGUGCUGUUGUUGGGUUAUAUUCAACCCAGCUGGGACCUGAUAUGUAUGUGGUAAAGCUCCCAAUGGUAGUUGAGUUGGGGGGUGACCAUAAAGGGCUUCAAAGGGAGUAAGUUUAAGAGAGUUGUAAAAGUUAGUAUUUAUACCACCACUCAUCCAGUGGUAGCCAUCUAGCCCGGUGUUUAGGAUUCUCAAACACCAUAGCUCGUAAGUAAGUCUCCAAACAUCGAUUGAGUCUCUCAGUUCGCCCAUCCAACUGAGGGUGAUAGGCUAAACUCAUAUUAAGCUUAGUCCACAUUGUUCUGAAUAAAUGCUGCCAAAAAUGACUAGUGAAAAUAGAUCCUCUGUCUGAAAUAAUAGAUCUGGGAAGUCCAUAUAACCUGUACACCUCCUUCAUGAAUAGUUCUACCACUUCUUGUGCUGAAAAUAUGUGUUUUAAGGCUAAGAAGUGUCCAUACUUGGACAGCCUAUCCACCACCACUAGCAUAGCAUUCUUCCCUGUGGAUAAGGGUAAGCCUUCUACAAAAUCCAUAGAUAUAUCCUGCCACACCUGUUGUGGGAUAGGAAGGGGUUGUAAUAACCCUGGGGUGUGCACAUUUUCAGACUUGAUCCUCUGACAAAUGUCACAUUCACUCACCCAUUUAAAAAUCUUUGACUUCAUGUUAGGCCAAUAGAAAAUCAGCUGUACCCUCUUAUAAGUUCCUCGCUGUCCAGAAUGACCAAGAAGAGGUGAUUGAUGCAUUAUUUCUAAAAUCUUACUCCUUAGAUUGGUUCCUCUUCCUACAUAGAUUUUGUUUCUUAUUCCUGAUGACUCCUUGUUGCAAGGAAUACUCUGAAUUACUGCCUGAAGAGGCAGCUAGUUCACCCAACGAUGCUAAAGAAAUAGGAUCCUCUUUAUAACUGAUGUUGAUCUCUUGUAACCAAGUAGGUUGAACAGUAAAGAUUGCCAAUAAGGUGGACUCCUGAUCCCAUCUUCUUGAUAAGGCAUCAGUUACCCUGUUUUCAGUGCCUUUCUUAUACUGCACCUCAUAAUCAAGUCCCAACAGCUUAGUCAGCCCUUUUUGUUGCAGAGUUGUAGUAAUAUUUUGUUCUAACAAAAACUUAAGACUUUGGUGAUCUGUCCUUACAAUAAAAUAACCUCCAUGUAAAUAAUGUCUCCAUUUCUCCACUGCAGUCAAAACUGCCAUAUAUUCCUUUUCAUAAGUUGAUAAUCCCCUAUUCUGUGUUAAAAAAACUUGCUUAAGAUAUUGGUCGACCAUCUUGCAUCAAGACAGCCCUCAUCCCUGUAGAACAAGCAUCAGUUUCUACAAUAAAUGGCUUAUUAAAGUCAGCCAAGGCUAAAACAGGAGCUGAAGACAUGGCUAUCUUUAGCUUAUUGAAGGCAGUUUCAGCUUCCUCAGACCACUGAAAUGAGUUCUUCUUCAGUAAAUUGGUGAGAGGUUUGUUGAUAAUUCCAUAAGACUUGACAAAUCUCCUAUAGUAACCAGUGAGACCCAAAAAUCCUCUAAGAGCCUUAACAGAUUUGGGAACAGGCCAAUUGAUCAUGGCCUCAUUCUUAGCAGGAUCAGUAGCUACCCCUUGGCCUGAAAUAAUAUGCCCCAAAUACUCCACUUGACUUUGACCAAAAGCACAUUUAGACAACUUAGCAUACAUUUGCUCUUUCUGUAACACCUCUAAUACCCAACUAAGAUGCAUAACAUGACUCUCCAUUGAAGGACUGUAGACCAAUAUAUCAUCAAAAUAUACCAGCACAAAUUUCCUAAGGAAAGGCAUGAAUACAUGAUUCAUUAAACCUUGAAAGGUAGCAGGUGCAUUACUUACCCCAGAUGGCAUAACCAUGAACUUAUGUGUCCCAAGUGAGUCCUAAAUGCAGUCUUGUAUAUGCUAGAUUCCUUCAUUCUAAUCUGGUGAUAACCAGCCCUUAAAUCAAUCUUUGAAUAAAUGCAUGAACCAUUUAAUUCAUCCAUGAGAUCAUCUACUAGAGGUAUAGGAAAUUUGUCUUUCACAAUCAUUUUGUUUAAUUCUCUGUAAUCUAUACAAAACCUCCAACUAUCAUCCUUUUUUAACCAAUAACACUGGUGAGGAGAAAGGAGAGUGACUAGGCUGAAUGGUACCACUAUUAAGCAUGUCAUUCACUUAUUUUUCUAUAUCAUUCUUUUGAAAAUGGUUAUGCUUGUAGGGCCUAAUGUUGACUGGAGAUGCAUUUGAUUUGAGAGGGAUGUAGUGAUCAUGACUCCUCUGUGGUGGCAGAGACUUUGGCUCAGCAAAAAACUCCUGGAAAUACAUUCAACAGCCUCCUAAUUUGUUCAGGUAUGCUUCUUUCUUCUAUAGUAGGUUCAGCAGUAAUUGUGAAGAGAUGAGCCCACCACAGUUCGCCUUUCUUGAGCAGCUGCUUCACCCCUACAGCUAGCAAACUCUGUAAACUCCCCUCUUCAGAAAAACCCUUCAAUUCUACUCUCUUUCCCUUCACACUUACCUGUGAUCUAUAUCCAAUAAAAUCAAACAAUAUAGGAUUGUGCUUUCUCAUCCAAUCCACUCCUAAUACCAUAUCACAUCUCCCAAUGUCUAACAUUCUCAGCUUGUGUUCAAAUUCAAUGCCUUGCAUUUUCCAUUUGAACUGAGGGCAAGAAUGAUAACUCAUCAAGUUACUCCCAUUUGCAGUUGUAACUCUCAUUGGAGCAUCUACCUGAAUCACACACCCCAAUUGUUUUGCAGUUUCACUUGCUACAAAACUAUGGGUGCUACCACGGUCUGCCAAUAUUACCAUAGUAGUAGAUGUGACUGUCCCAGAUAAGGCAUUGAGACUUAUUGCCUCAUUAAUUAUUAUUUCCUGACUUUGCUCCUGCACUAUUCCCUCUUCCCCAGCAUUCAUGUCUACCUCUUCUUGUUUAGUAGACCCAGACAAUGCAUUUAGCUGUUUAUUCUUACAUUGAUGGCCAAGGAAAUAUUCUGUCCACACUUAUAACAUUCACCUCUUGCUCUUCUUGCCUCAAAUAAUUUGUUGCCCACAUUGUAGGAGGUAGAUCCCCAUUCCUUCUGCUGAACCCCAGAUGUUCUCAUUGCUGCUUGGCCAUUAUUAUUGUUGUACUGUACUGACUACCUAGUAAUAUUUACUUUACCCUUUUUAGCUACUGCUUCUAACAACUUCUCUUUAUUCCUAGCCUUCUCCACUGCUUGGCUCAAGGAGAAAGGAUCAAGCAUCUUGACUGUGUGCCUAAUUUCAUCCUUGAGUCCUUCAAUAAAGAAAUUCUUCAGGGAUAGUGGGUGUUUAAUCAAGACCCAAGCCUUCAAAUCUUCAAAUAUGGCCAGGUAAUUAUUCGCUGAUCCUUGCUGCUCAAUUCUUUUGAACUCUCCUAAGAUAUUAAGAUUGCUAUUAUCCGACUCCUCAAAUCUUUAACUGAUUUUUUCUACAAACUCAGGCCAUCUCACACUACCUCUGCUUAGAUGAUAAGAGAAAUACCAGGAUUCAGCCCUUCUAUUGAGAUGAAGGACAUCAGCCUCUAACUUCUCCUGAAGAUCAGUUAUCUGAUUGAAGUGGAAGUAUCUUUCACACUUGCGGAGCCAAGAUCUGGAGUAAUCUUCUUCGAAUUAAGGGAUUUCAAACCUAUUUCCAUGGUUAUUUCCCUACCUUCUACCAAUGGAAUAUUCAUUUUGCUCGGGAAAUCUAGGUCGACUACUGGAGCCUUCGAUGUGAUUGACUUCAACUGGAGCACUCCCCAAGAUGCCAUCCUUGCUCGUGAAAAGCCUAUCCAUCAUCAUAUCUAGCUUCCUGCCCACAUCAUCAAUCUUAGAAUCAUGUGAUUCUAAUUUUUUUAUUCAUCUCUGCCAUGUUAUUUUGUAACUGAUUGUCUAAUUUCUUCACAUAACCUUCAUUAGACUUCGAACGAGUUUCUGGAACCGUCAUUGUAGCUAGUGUUAGAAUAAUAGUGUAAAUAGGAGUGAAUAACCCUAAUCCAAAAUGUAUUAGGAGUAGGAUAUGUUAUGUGUGUGUAUAUAGGGCUCAUUGUAGCAUUGUAAAUAAUAUAUCAAUAAUAUUUUUUAUCCCGUGC
rnacentral:lncRNA from 1 species